GAGAAACUUCAGUGGGCCACCUCAGGUGGUUUGGCGGAGGAAGGAGGAGCUUGUACAUCUGGUGGAGGAGGUGGAGGCUACAAAGGUGGCCACGCCUCUGAAGCUGAUGACAUCACAGCUGAUGGACGGCAUGGUGUUUCCUUUGUGAAUCCAGCUGGGGAAGUCUUCCUGGGUCCCUUGGCAGUUAUGGAGAGUCAUGGCGAGGUGGAGAUUGAUAUCUACGUGAAUUGCAGCCACUGCCAGUCAGGUAUCUGCAAGCUGGCUCCUGACGCCCACCUGCCCAUCUGUAUUUGUGCAGUCGGGGCCAUCUUGGCCAGUGACAAUGUAUCAUGCACAGGUAAAACGUGGAACAUCCUCCCAAUAUAUAUAAAAAUAAUCCUUUCUUUGCUUUUUCCUAGCCUUAUACCAUGAACCAGGGGAAGGGACAUAGCUCAGUGGUAGGACUGGGAGCGAGCCCUGUCUGAAAUCCUAGACAGCCACAGCCA